GCCGCCUUUGCCUUGUCAAAACUCGCCGAUGCCGCCGCCGUUACCUUCUCCAUCUUCUUGCCGCUGCUUUUUCCUUUGCCGCCAUCAUCUUCAUAUCCGACGUCGUUUUGACUGCCCCACUGAUCCGCCCAACUAUUUCCGUUACUUCCCAUUCUUGACAAAAAAAAUUGAAUCUUUAACAACCAAUCACCAAUAAUAAAGUUUGAAUCUUUAACAACCAAUAAUAAAGUUUGAAUCUUUAACAACCAAUCAAACAAAAGUUGGAAUAUGUAGCAACUAAAACAAGAAAAAACUACAAUUUUUGGCAAAAAAAAAACAACAAAAGGUGCAAUCUUUGGCAACCAGACACAAUAAAUUUACAAUCUUCUUGUUUUGGAUCAGUCAAUAAAAUUAGAAUCUUUGGCAACCAAAAAGAGUAAAAAGUGCAAACAGAAGAGAAGAUUUUACCAGAGAGAUUGGUGGUGGGAAGUGAUGGGUUGCAAGAUUUUAAGCUGCUGUAGAGAGAAACUGUUUUUGUGAAUUUGAUAUAGGUGAACACAGCCCAAUUUGUAAGAAAUGUUUUUGUGAUUUUGAUAUAUGUGAACAGAAUAUGAAGGGACCAAUGUAAGAAAGGAAUUUAAGGCAGUUAGCUAAUGUAAAUAGUAAUCUCAUUGGGAU
rnacentral:lncRNA from 1 species